GAUGAACGCUGGCGGCGUGCCUAAUACAUGCGAGUCGAGCGAACAGACGAGGAGCUUGCUCCUCUGACGUUAGCGGCGGACGGGUGAGUAACACGUGGAUAACCUACCUAUAAGACUGGGAUAACUUCGGGAAACCGGAGCUAAUACCGGAUAAUAUAUUGAACCGCAUGGUUCAAUAGUGAAAGACGGUUUUGCUGUCACUUAUAGAUGGAUCCGCGCCGCAUUAGCUAGUUGGUAAGGUAACGGCUUACCAAGGCGACGAUGCGUAGCCGACCUGAGAGGGGGAUCGGCCACACGGGAACUGAGACACGGUCCAGACUCCUACGGGAGGCAGCAGUAGGGAAUCUUCCGCAAUGGGCGAAAGCCUGACGGAGCAACGCCGCGUGAGUGAUGAAGGUCUUCGGAUCGUAAAACUCUGUUAUUAGGGAAGAACAAAUGUGUAAGUAACUAUGCACGUCUUGACGGUACCUAAUCAGAAAGCAACGGCUAACUACGUG
rnacentral:rRNA from 1 species